rnacentral:rRNA from 1 species
GUUUAUGGUCACACCACCCCCACUGCUCCUGACUUGGUCUGGUCUCAGAAGCUGAGUGAGGUUGGGUGUGGUUAUUACUUGGGUGAGAGACUGUGUGGUAAUAUGCAGAACAAUGUUCA